GAUGAACGCUAGCGGCAGGCCUAAUACAUGCAAGUCGAACGGUGUAGCAAUACACAGUGGCGCACGGGUGCGUAACACGUAUGCAACCUACCUUACAUUGGGGGAUAGCCUUUCGAAAGGGAGAUUAAUACCGCAUAAGACAGUAACUGGGCAUCCAGUAGCUGUUAAAGAUUUAUCGAUGUAAGCUGGGCAUGCGUCCAAUUAGUUAGUUGGCGAGGUAAUGGCUCACCAAGACGAUGAUUGGUAGGGGAACUGAGAGGUCAAUCCCCCACACUGGCACUGAGCUACGGGCCAGACUCCUACGGGAGGCAGCAGUAGGGAAUAUUGGGCAAUGGGCGCAAGCCUGACCCAGCCAUGCCGCGUGCAGGAAGAAGGCGUUAUGCGUUGUAAACUGCUUUUAUACAGGAAGAAACGACCCUUGCGAGGGGCAUUGACGGUACUGUAUGAAUAAGCACCGGCUAACUCCGUGCCAGCCGCCGCCUAACAC
rnacentral:rRNA from 1 species